rnacentral:lncRNA from 1 species
AGGGAAUAGAACUCUAUGCCUGCCAAAAGUUGAUAGAAAUUCACCAUUCUGUCUGCAGGUCUCUUUCUGCUUGAAGUGGGGAAACGUCAGAAAGUGGCUGUUUUGGGUUGCCGUGGAGACCUUUGCAGGCUGCUUCUUGCUUCCCCUUGCUUUGCAGAGAUUUCCUUUAGUUAUCACCAUUUUGUUUGUUUGUUUGUUUGUUUCCUUUGGCAACUGUUGCAUCUGGAUUAAUGAUAUACACAAUUUCUAGUUCACAAAUGAGGAGAGAGAGGUUCUGGAAUGUUAAAAAUCUUUAAUAAUUCCAGUGUCUACUAAAGCAGAAAACCAAUUAAGCUAUGUUCUUUUUGUACUCAACCCUGUAUCUUUUCUCAUUCAAUUUAUAAAAGUAUUCUCUUCUUUCAUUAAUAUAUUUAUUUAUUCACUUCACAUCCUGAUUGCAGCCCUCUUCCCCCUUUUCUUUCCACCCCUCUCUUCCCUGCCCCCACGGGCCCUGGCACAUUAAGUUGAAUCAGGGCUAAGAGCAUCCUCUCCCACAGAAACCAGACAAGUAUUCUUAGAGAUGCAUGCUAUUUUAGUUUAUAAACAUAUCGUUCUAUAAAUUUGCACAUAUCACUGUGACUACAUUACUUUAUUCUUUGCUUCUUAAGUAAGAUCACGCAAUUUAUAGAUACUUCCUUCCCCUUUACAAUGUAUUGCAGCUGCCUUAAAUUAAUGUGUCUUCUUUUAUUUAGUAAUCAUUGUUGUAAUCUGUUUGCACAUUUGCCACCACUAGUAGAUUCUAAUACUGUUGAGGGCAAUCUUAGUGAUGUCAUAGUCUCAUCCUACCACAUGGUUGUCUGCUGGAUGUACAGCUAGGCUUUUCAACCUUCCCUUUACAUGGAGGUAGCAGGUGGUCUCAUCAACAGAUGAAAAGAACGUCUUUAAUCCCAGAACCAGGGAGGCAGAGAUCUGUGCAUCUCUAUGAGUUCAAGGCCACUCUGGUCUACAGAGGGAGUUCCAGGACAGCUAGAGCUAUUCAAAGAAACCCUGUUUCACACACACACACACACACACACACACACACACACACACACACACAAAUCUCUCACUGCUACUUUCCAGUAAAUUAAAGGCAAUUUGUUAAGAAUGCUAGCUACCUCUAGGUGGAGACAGGCCCUUGUCUCUUCACUUAGGGUUAAUCCACGAUGGUAAUGUCAGAGACCUGACUAAGGCACCAGGAACAAAUGGCUCAGGUGCCUAUUUAUCAUAUCAAAGCAAACCCUGGCUACCAGGUUCUUCCAGAAUCCCUCAGUCCCUUUGUGGUCCAGGGUGCUCCUUGCCAGCAGUACCCCACCCACUACCAUGAACAUUCCAGCUGAGGGGCUGGGCAGCCCUUCCCCCAGUGGCUCUUCCCUAUGCAAUUCAGCCAGUUUUGCUAUGCUGGUUCCUUUACCCCUUUUAACCCUUUCACCUUUUGACCUCUUUGCCUCUUGGUCUCCUGAUCUCCCCUUUCCUGUCUCCCUUCUUCUGCCAUAGCCAGGCUCAUGUUCACUCUGGCCUCUGGGAUGGCCCUGCUUCUGGCUAUGCUCUCCCUCAUAUCUAAAAUAAACUUCUCCUCCACCACACUAGAAGUAGUUAUAUGUUAAUCCCAAAGAUGGGAGGAGAAAUACAAAUCAUCAGGGCCAAAUUAAUUAAACAACCCAUUAAAGCUGUUUUAUUCAUGUACACAGGCUGCCUCCCCAUAAGGUGGGGUUUGCAAGGUCUGCAUGUGUGGAAGACAAAGUUUUUAUAGCUCAGGAAUAGGGGUUUUCCCAAUGGGGGUGUGGAAAUUGUCUAUAGGAAGUGGUACUGUUAGGAGGUGUGGCUUUGUUGUAAGAAGUGUACCAUCUGAGGGUGGGCUUUGAAGGUCUCCUCCUGUGCUCAGGUUCCACCCUUUUCGGAAGAGAGCUCCCUCCUAGCUGCCUGAGGAUGCCAGUCUCUCCUGGUUGCCUUUGAAUCAAGAUGCAGAACUUUCAACUCUUCCAGCCCCAAGUCUGCCUGGAUGCUGCCAUGCUUCAGGCUAUGAUGAUAAUGGACUGAACCUCUGAACCUGUAAGCCAGCCCCGAUUAAAUGCUGUCCUUAUAAGAGCUGCCUUGGUCAGGCAUGGUAUCUCUUCACAGCAAUGGGAACCCUAAGACAAGGAGAUUUGUUGGGCAAAAUAGAUAUGGUUAUAGGAGCAGAACGUAAACAUACCAAGUUAGUCAUAAUGACCGCCUAAACCAAAGACAGGAUUGCAAGGCCUCAGCAACAGGUGGUCAUAAGAUGGUAGCCAUAACAACCCUUUUGAAACAAAGGUAGUGUUGCAAACAGUUAUUAACUUUUUGACACCAUUGCCCUUCCUAGAACAGGCAGAAGAGAACCACUUAUAGUUAGGGUUACAGGUGAGGCAUAGCCCAAUGCUUAAGAAACAGAGGUUUAAUCAUGAACAGGAAUGAACCUAGUUUGUUGUUACCAUAAGGUGGCUUUUUAGCCUAAGAUGGAGACCAGCUGGUUCUUCACAUAUCUUCCUUUUGUAUUCUACCUCCGACCCCCCUUUUCAUUCAUGCAGCACCUAGAAGGCGGGUACUUUGCCGUCCUGGAACUCUCACCUCCCAGUGCAGCCCCUCAGAGCCAACUUGGAGUUUGGCUCUGUCUACCCACCCUUUAGAGUUGUUACUGUUAUGUUUCCCUCUCCUCUGUCUUUUUCUUUUGGGAGCUGAACAGAAUGCAGGUAUGCCUUUAAAUUGUUUAGCUAGAGUUCGGGGUCCUUAUUCUUUCUCUAAAGCCCCUCUCUGUUUAGUGGCUUCAAGCCACUGGGGGAUGACAUUCCUGUAGCAUUCUCUUUUCCUCUGAGCUUUUGUCCCUUCCCUUCCCCUUCCUCCCUCUCCCUUCCAGGCAGCUGUGAGAUUUCUAGCUUGCCGGUCUUGGGGUUUUCCUUUUAAAUUCUAAUAAAUUGCCCUCAUGCUUCAGUUUAUGUCUGUUCUUGAAAUCUUGUAUUAAUGGGACCAAGAACCCUAAUGAGGGACCUCAGAGUUUGAGGUAUCAUACAAUGGCUCUCCUGGGAGACCCCAACAUUUCUAGUAACACUUCCUUCCUGCCAUUUAAUUAGUUGGCAGAGAAAAUCAACCAUUCCUGCACCCCUAGAAUUGGUCUUCAUUUUUCUCUCUGAGGUCAUUCCCUUUGCUCCCUUCAUGCACACACUGCCCAGGUAUCACAAGAAGAUGUCCCUCUUAGGGAAAGUGAUUGCAUUCUUUGCUUCUGCUUGCUUGCACU